CUUCUACCAUCAGCAUUCCUACAUCAGGCUCUGAAAAUCCGUCAGUUGGAUCCGGGGACUUGUGGUACCACAAGGGAAGGAAGCCAAAAGAAGUCAUUUCUUGGGGCCAGACAUCAUGAAAUGGAAAUUAAAGUACUGGUCUUUUCUCUCCAAGACUAAUCCUUGGGAUGAGUAACACUUUGGAAGAAUUGCUUUUUCCUGGUGCUUUGCUAACUUACUAAGAGCCUCUGAGCUCACUGCCUUCAUCAUUAAUCUUUAUCAUUAAUUAACAAAUCAAUAUCUUAUUAUACAAUAUAUUACUAUACAAUAUAUUAUUGUACAAUAUAUUAUCACUAUUGUUCUCCUGUAUGACUUACUUUCAGAUUUUGGGGAACAGUAGCACAUCCAGCUAUUCAGCUCACUUUAGAUGAUUGCCUUUUUGCUUCGUUCUACAUGUAGACUGUAAGCUCGGAAAAGGACAUGGAAAAAAAGGUAGCCAUAGGAGCAAACUGACUUGCGACAUGAAUGAAGUGGCAAAUCAAGUGUAGACUGAAGUUUACAAGAUCCUGGUCCAUGACAUGGUCCACGUCCAGCAUGCAAUCAGGGUGCAAGGAAGAGACAAGCAUAUGGUAAGAAGUUAGGUACCUGGAAAAUAGUGAAAUCACACAACCAAGUGGCUCAAAUUCUCUGCAUAUCAGAAAGCAUGCAACUUGAAGUGGAAGUUUGAGGUCACGUUCUGGAGCUAAACAUGAAUUUCUUGAAGUCAGAAACCAUAAAAAAACUUAUUAACUUGCUUCAUUUGUGAGUCAGAUAUGACACACUCACUAAUUCCUCAUUGAACUGAAUUAAUUUGUAGUAUUUAUUAUCCAUUGCUCCUAAAUAUCUGUUUAAAACGAGGUACUGAGCUAUUUGAGAGGUAGAGAGACAGCAAGUGAGCACCCAAGCACACUCCCUUCCACUGGUUCUCUUCCCCCAAUACCUGCAACCUGCAGAAAUGGACCAAGCUGAAGCUAGGAGCCAGGAACUCAAUCUUGAUCUCCCACUUGAGAGG